CCAGAAACUUCAUCUUCAGCUAUUAGUGGAGGUCAUGCUAAAGUUGAAAAGGAACUUGAACAAAAUGUAUCUCCUACAACAGCUUCCUUUGUUAAGAAUUCAACCAAACUCUUAAAAGAGAUGAAUUCAGAAAAAGUUUGGUCAGAUGAGAUGCCAUCUUUUCUUUCAAGCACCUCAGAAAUUUCCACUAUAAAUGAUGAAAAUAAUGGAGGUUCAAAUGAAUCAACUUCACCUAAGGUUGACAAUGUUGAAAGUGAUUCUAUGACUGAAGACACAAAACCACCUCCUUUGGCUGGGGCCAAUGUCAUGAAUGUUAUUUUGGUAGCUGCAGAAUGUGCUCCAUGGUCCAAAACAGGUGGCCUUGGAGACGUUGCUGGGUCUUUACCAAAGGCUUUGGCUCGGCGUGGACAUCGGGUUAUGGUUGUGGCACCUCGGUAUGGUAACUAUGCUGAACCUCUGGAUACUGGAGUUCGAAAGAGGUAUAAGGUGGAUGGUCAGGAUUUUGAAGUAUCAUACUUCCAAGCGUUCAUUGAUGGGGUUGAUUUUGUAUUCAUUGAGAGUCCUAUCUUUCGCCACAUAGAGAAUAAUAUAUAUGGAGGAAACAGAUUGGAUAUAUUGAAGAGGAUGGUGUUAUUUUGCAAAGCUGCUGUUGAGGUUCCAUGGCAUGUCCCAUGUGGUGGAGUCUGCUAUGGGGAUGGAAAUUUGGCUUUCAUUGCAAAUGAUUGGCAUACAGCACUGGUGCCAGUGUAUCUGAAGGCAUAUUAUCGAGACAAUGGUGUAAUGCGAUAUGCAAGAUCUGUUUUCGUAAUUCAUAACAUUGCUUACCAGGGUCGGGGUCCUGUCGACGAUUUCUCUUAUAUGGAUCUACCAGAACACUACAUUGAUCUCUUCAAACUGUAUGACCCUGUUGGUGGUGACCACUUCAAUAUCUUUGCAGCUGGUCUUAAGACAGCAGAUCGUGUGGUUACUGUUAGUCAUGGAUAUGCCUGGGAGCUUAAAACAUCCGAAGGUGGUUGGGGUCUGCACAACAUCAUAAGUGAGAAUGACUGGAAAUUGAGGGGCAUUGUUAAUGGGAUUGAUGCAAAAGAAUGGAACCCACUGUUUGAUAUUCACCUGACAUCAGAUGGUUAUACUAAUUACUCCCUGGAAACACUUGAUACUGGCAAGCCUCAGUGCAAAGCAGCCUUACAGAAGGAGCUUGGUUUGCCCAUACGUCCAGAUGUCCCUGUUAUUGGGUUCAUUGGAAGGUUGGAUCACCAGAAGGGUGUUGAUCUCAUAGCUGAGGCGG
rnacentral:misc_RNA from 1 species